rnacentral:rRNA from 1 species
GAUUAUAUAAGUGAUUGUUGUUAUUAUUUUAUUAUAUAGAAUUAGUAUUAUGAGUGAAGUUUAUGUAGUUUUAAAAGGUUAUUGUACUGUGAGGGAAUUAAAUUUAUUUAUGAAAAAUAUUAGGUUAGUUAUUACCUUUUGUAUUAGGGUUUAUUAAUGUGAUUAGAUAUUAAGAUUGUAUCUCGAUGAAUAUCGGGCUAUUAUUUAUGAGUAUUAAAUUUAUUGCAUAAAAUUAGUUAAUAUUUAAUAGUUAUGAAAUAUUAUUCAAGUUAUUGUUUAUCUGGUUCUUUAAGAAAUUUAAUAUAAAAUAGUUGUAUUAUUACUGUAGAUAGGGAUUAGCUUAUUUAUUAUCUAUAUAAGAGUUUACUAGAUUUCAUAAGUGGAGUUGAAAGUUCUUAGUUUUAUGGUGUUAUUAUUAAUUGUGUGUUAUUGUAUAUUUAUUUUGAUUAUGUUAAAAUUAAAGGUAUUGGUUUAAUUUAAAUCUAGUGAUAUUAUGAUAAAAUUAGUAAUAUGAUUAUUAUAACUGGGUUGAUUUUAGAUAUUUGAUUAUAUUUAGUGUGUUAAUUUGGGAUGAAGAAUUAGGCAAAUUAGCCUUUGACUGUUUAGCAAAAACAUUGUUUUUUGUAAGUAUAGAAAAUAUGUUCUGCCCACUGCUAUUAGGUGAAGGGCUGCAGUAUUUUGACUGUAUGAAGGUAGCAUAAUCAUUAGCUUUUUAAUUGGGAGCUGGUAUGAAGGUGAAACAGAGGUUAACUAUUUUAUCCUAAUGAGGUGAAUUUUGUUUUUAUGUGAAAAAUCAUAAGUGAAUUAAAGGGACAAGAAGACCCUAGUAAAUUUUAUUCUUGAUUUUGAUGCGGGUAUAGGAAUAUAAUUUAUGCAAUUUAUUUUUUGGGGUUUGACUGGGGCGGUAUAUAAGAAACAUUAUUUAUUUUUAACCUUUGGUGGCGGUUUAGGACCUAAUAGGUUUAGUUGAAUGGAAAAUUACUGUAGGGAUAACAGCGUAAUUUUCCUUAAGAGUUCUAAUUGACAGGGAA